AUUCCAGCUCCAAUAGCGUAUAUUAAAGUUGUUGCGGUUAAAAAGCUCGUAGUUGGAGUUCUGCCAGGUGGCGCUCGUCCGCCCAAGUGGUGUGUACAGGGCGUGCAUCUGGCCCUUUCAAGGGGAACGUGUCUGCUCUUUAUUGAGUGGUGCGAGAUCCUAGACUUUUACUUUGAGGAAAUAAGAGUGUUCAAAGCAGGCUUAUGCCGUUGAAUAUAUUAGCAUGGAAUAAUAAGAUAGGACUAUGGUACUAUUUUGUUGGUUUGUGCACCAUGGUAAUGAUUAAUAGGGAUAGUUGGGGGCAUUAGUACUUUGCUGUCAGAGGUGAAAUUCUCGGAUUUGCAAAAGACUAACUUAUGCGAAAGCAUUUGCCAAGGAUGUUUUCAUCA
rnacentral:rRNA from 1 species